AGGAGGAACAACCCCAGUGGCGGGGCCAGCUCUGGAAACCUGGAUUCAGCUCCGGCAGUAGCUCCGGAGCUCUCCGUCUGCAGGGCCUGGAGGCUCCGGGGCGGG
rfam:Canis lupus familiaris chromosome 19, whole genome shotgun sequence.